AAGUGCGAUCAUACCAGCACUAAUGCACGAGAUCCCAUCAAAACUCCGCAGGGAAGCGUGCUUGGGCGAGAGUAGUACUAGGAUGGGUUAAGUCUUGGGAAGUCCUCGUGGGACACCUU
rnacentral:rRNA from 2 species